UGCCCAGCAACUCCUAUCCCUACCUCCACGCGGUACCGGCCGGAAACUAUGAGCAACCUUAGGGAAGAUCGGGUAACCAACCCCGGUGGGAACUUUGGUCGUAGGCUAACAGGGAAGG
rnacentral:ribozyme from 1 species